CGCGACGCCGCGGAAGGGAUGGGGCCGCGGCGGGCAGAGAGAGGGCGCGGGAUGAGGCGGGCCAAUCGCAGUCAACAGGUUCCCAGUAGCUGCAGCAGUGAAAGACAGUGAUUGGCUCCAGUGCUCCUAGAAGGAUUUGGGCUGAAGCCAGGGGAACAGAACCAGAAGAGGAUUCCCUUUCCAGAGACCAUCAGGCUCCUCAUGUCUUGUCUCUCCUCUCUCCCCUCGUGGUGGCUCAGGAUUUCAGUAUGGCUGAGCAGCCCAUAGAGGCAGCUGACAUGGUCAACAAAUUUAUCAAAGAAACCCCCUGGCUUUUGAAGAAUAGUACUUUAUACAUCUGGAUCUGCACAUCAGGCAAAGCUCAGAAAUAUCCGUUUAUUCUUUUAAUCACGCGGAUGUGUCUAUUUUUGGAGGAACAAGGAAACACAUAAAUGCCUGAGUUGCAUUUAUGUUGUAGUUGCAAACACCAAACAGUUAAGAAGAUUUUGCCGAAUUUUGCAAAGCAGCCAACGAGCCGCCUUGGGAUCGUGGUAAUGCGACUGGGAGGACCCUUGCUCUCAUUUGGCAAUAUGUUGGAUAUCCUUGAAAAUGACACCAAAAUAUGCCUUAAUUUGACUAAGAAGAGGUUAAACCACAUUGAUUUUCAUCCAAAGUGAUUUUGUUAAAGCAGAUGCUUGACUUUGAUGGAAAAACUGGGAGUUGUGGAAGAUUCACCUAAACUACUAACCCAAAGCAUCACAAACCACUGAAACAGUCUGCAUCGUACAUCAGCACUUCCUUUUCAUUGUUAUUACGUAAAACCUCUGGAAGCACCUUGGGCGUUUGACAUUUUCUUUUCUUUGCUGCAGAAGGAAGCAAUCUGCUCCCUGGAAUUCUGACCUGUGGUGAACAGGACCCUGGCAAAGGCUUUGCUGGGGACUCUUGGACGAUCCCGCCUCCAAUCCAGUACGGUUAAUUGUGGAAAAGUGUACACAUUUCUGGCUUAUCUAUGCUUUGUUAUGGGUCUGACGUGAAACUACCUCCUCCCCACCCCACCCCCCAGCAGAGAACCGAAAUCCAGUUGAAUUGUUACAGUGUUUCAGAGCUGGAGCCUUGAACUGCUUCCCUGGUCAAAUAACUUUGUUUCUGGUUGUAAAAAGGCAUUUCGGAGGGGGGGGGGGGAAGGAAAAUCGAGAGAAAUUCCAAACGUAAGUUCGCACUGGGGUGGUUCACGGGGCGGGUUUAACUUUGGAGCUCCUAGCCGGUCUUCUUCCCCACUCCUGUAAGGGAAAUACCAGGCUGUUCUGCACAUUUUCGCUUAAGCUCCAUUUUCCAAAAGGAAAAGGGGGUGGGGUAUAUCUCUUUCGGCUUGAUAAUGUUUUUUAAAUGCUUUUCUUUGAAAUGAUAAUAGCUGUAUCGGUAAAAUGUAAAUAAAGGAAAAAAUAGGCAGUAUUUCUUUAAAGGCGAA